UACGUAGGGAGCAAGCGUUGUUCGGAUUUACUGGGCGUAAAGGGCGCGUAGGCGGCGCUUUAAGUCACUUGUGAAAUCUCUGAGCUUAACUCAGAACGGCCAAGUGAUACUGCAGUGCUAGAGUGCAGAAGGGGCAAUCGGAAUUCUUGGUGUAGCGGUGAAAUGCGUAGAUAUCAAGAGGAACACCUGAGGUGAAGACGGGUUGCUAGGCUGACACUGACGCUGAGGCGCGAAAGCCAGGGGAGCAAUCGGG
rnacentral:rRNA from 1 species